GGCAAGGGACACGGCGACGUGGAGGGAGAGCAGUAUUUCCAGAGAACUGCUGGUUUAGAAUUUAGCUCUUGGGACUUGUGAAAACAGUGAAGGAUGCUUAGACUACCUAACGUUCAAACUACCCUUUUGUUAAUCAUCUUUAGAAGACUGGACUUCUGGAUGUCUAUUGAAUUGAAACAUGAAAAUGGAACCUAUAACCGUGGCAAUCAUCUGUGAGCCUUAAUUACAUUGAUUCGUAGCAUUUGAAACUUCCUCGGGGAACACACAAUGGCAUCGGCAGUGGUUGACAGCGGAGGUUCUGUUCUGGAGCUUUCCAGCAAUGGAGUAGAAAAUCAAGAGGGAGGCGACACUGUCCCUGAAUAUCCAGCAGUGAUUGUGGAGCCCGUCCCCAGUGCGAGGUUAGAGCAGGGCUAUGCUGCCCAGGUGCUGGUGUAUGACGACGAGACUUACAUGAUGCAGGAUGUGGCAGAAGAACAAGAAGUUGAGACGGAGAAUUCAGAAACAGUGGAAGCGUCAGUUCACAGCAGCAAUGCACACUGUACGGAUAAGACCUUUGAAGCUGCUGAAGCCCUGCUUCACAUGGAAUCUCCUACCUGCCUGAGGGACUCAAGAAGUCCUGUGGAAGUGUUUGUCCCUCCUUGUAUAUCAACUCCAGAGUUUAUCCACGCUGCGAUGCGGCCAGAUGUCAUUACAGAGACUGUAGUGGAGGUGUCAACAGAAGAGUCUGAGCCAAUGGAUGCCUCGCCUGUUCCUACUUCACCAGACAGCCACGAACCAAUGAAAAGGAAAAAAGUUGGCCGUAAACCAAAGACCCAGCAGUCACCAGUUUCCAAUGGGUCUCCUGAGUUAGGAAUCAAGAAGAAAGCCAGAGAAGGAAAAGGAAACACAACCUACCUGUGGGAGUUUCUUUUAGACCUGCUUCAGGAUAAGAACACCUGUCCCAGGUAUAUUAAAUGGACCCAGAGGGAGAAGGGCAUCUUCAAGCUCGUGGACUCAAAGGCCGUCUCGAAGCUCUGGGGAAAGCAUAAGAACAAACCAGACAUGAACUAUGAAACGAUGGGGCGAGCCUUGAGAUACUACUACCAAAGGGGAAUUCUUGCAAAGGUUGAAGGACAGAGGCUUGUAUAUCAGUUCAAGGACAUGCCCAAAAACAUAGUGGUCAUCGAUGAUGACAAAAGUGAGACCUGCCCCGAAGACUUGGCAGCAGCUGCUGAUGACAAGUCUUUAGAACGAGUGUCACUAUCUGCAGAAAGUCUCCUGAAGGCAGCAACUGCCGUCCGAGGUGGGAAAACCUCAUCUCCUCUGAACUGCUCCCGAGCGGAGAAGGGUGUGGCUAGGGUUGUGAACAUCACUUCCCCUCCUCACGAUGCUUCGUCCAGGUCUCCUACCACCACAGCACCUGUGUCAGCAGCAGCAGCUCCAAGGACAGUUCGUGUGGCAAUGCAAGUCCCUGUGGUAAUGACGUCACUGGGUCAGAAGAUUUCAACUGUGGCAGUUCAGUCAGUCAAUGCAGGCACACCAUUAAUAACCAGCACCAGUCCAGCUACAGCCAGCUCUCCAAAAGUAGUCAUCCAGACAGUCCCGACUGUGAUGCCAGCCUCCACUGAAAAUGGAGACAGAAUCACCAUGCAGCCUGCCAAGAUUAUCACCAUCCCUGCUACUCAGCUUGCACAGUGUCAACUGCAGACAAAGUCAAAUCUGACUGGAUCAGGAAGCAUUAACAUUGUUGGAACCCCACUGGCUGUGAGGGCGCUCACCCCUGUUUCAAUCGCCCAUGGCACACCUGUAAUGAGACUAUCCGUGCCUGCUCAGCAGGCUUCUGGCCAGACUCCUCCUCGAGUUAUCAGUGCGGUCAUAAAAGGGCCAGAGGUUAAAUCAGAAGCCAAAAAGCAGGAGCACGAUGUGAAAACCUUGCAGCUGGUAGAAGAAAAGGGGGCAGAUGGGAACAAGACAGUAACUCAUGUGGUGGUUGUCAGUGCGCCCUCUGCUAUUGCCCUUCCUGUGACUAUGAAAACCGAAGGGCUAGUGACGUGUGAGAAAUAACCAAGCUCCUAGGGACUGCAGACAUUUGCAAGGGAAGUCAUCAAGAAAAGUCAGAGGAGGACUUUCAAACAACUGUGCAUAUAAGAAAGCAAUCAGACUUACUGGAAAUAAAUUACCUAUCCCAUGUUUCAGUGGGAAGUGAACUACACAUUGAGAUGCUGACAGAAAACUGCCUCUUAAAGUAAGAACAACUGAACCCUCAAUAAAAAAAAAGACUGAAAGGGACCAAGCAGCUCACUACAAUAUCACGUUACACUAAGAGUUGGAACACUAACACCUGUGACUUUCCAGUAGCAGUUCCAGCCUUCUCACCAGAUGACGGUGUGCAUCUUCAGAGAGCCCAGGCUGGACCCUUUGUUACAGAAGAUCUCACUUGAGCAACCAUCCUUGUGUGCCUCCUAUGUGUCAGCAUCUCUCCCUGGCUCAACAGUUACAGUCAUUCAGUAUUUUCUACCACACCAUUUUUUUUUUCUCAAUGGGGAGCCAGCCUCACAGUGUUCAUUGAAGUUCACCAAUAGCCUAGUUUCCAAAUGAAACCCAAAUUUGAAAAUGUUUUUAAAGUUAUAGUGUGUCCAUGCAUGAAGGAGAUCAGAGGACAAGGUUCAGAAGUCAGUUACUCUCAAGUCAUGAGACUUAGUCACAAGCACCUUAACCUAGUCAUCUCAAAUGCCCCAUACCACAUCUUUACAUAACUCCCGUGCCUGCAUAUAUGCUUGUGUACCACAUGUAUGAGGUGCCUGUGUACCACAUGUAUGAGGUGCCUGUGGAGGCCAGGAGUUGGAGCUCCUGGAACUGGGGUUGAGAGCUGCCAUGUAGGUGCAGGGAAUCAAACCUGAGGCCUCUGUAAGAGCAGCAAAUGCUCCUAACCCAUGAGCCAUGUCUCCACACCCCCCAAUCAAACCUUGUGCCUUAGUUUGCUUCCCAAAGUCAAUCUGGUUUCGUAUGACAUGCCUCUGGCUUUUUCUCAGCCUACAUGGCUAUCCUGAUUUUUGACUUCCAACCAAGGUUUGUCUAUAGGGCUUACUAAUGUAGAGGGGGUGAGGAGUUAGUGUGUGCUACACAAGCAGACACUACUGAAUGUUUAGUCAUUUCGUUGUGAGAGCUGUUUUUCAGAUAGUUGCCCAUGUUUUUUCCUACCAGAUCUUGGUCCAGACUAGAUUUUUACUCUUAUGAGCUCAUUUUACCUAACUGCCACACCACACAGCUCUUUCUGAGUGCUGGAUUAAACUCCCAUCCCCUUUAGUAUUAACAGCCCUUUAUUUCUGCCAGGGAUGUGUAAGUUUAUCUCAGACACCUUGGGUCAUUCACAUCUAGCCAUUUUCCAGUCCUGUUGAUGGCAUCUUGUGCAUGCCUGCCUUCCCUCCAAUAAGGUCUGGCUAUGUAGCCCAGGUUGUCAGAAAACAUUAUCCUACCUCAGACGUUGGAAUGCUGAGAGUUCAGGAAGCUAGUGUGCCAAAAAGCUAAAAUAAAUAAAAGUGGUUUUUGUUACAUA